GCACUGAGGGGAUCGUGUCAAAUCUCCACCGUUCCACCCCGUCCCGCCGUCCGCAUGCUCCUGCUGCCGCCUCACCGCCGUCAUGUUCUCUAUGGCGCUCCCGCUGGCUCUCACGCUCCGCCUCAGCCUGCCAUUGCCACCACCGUCUUGCCCGCUGCCCCGCCGCCGCUCGCAGGCUCCUCCGCCCCAUUCUCGGGAUCUGGUGUUGGGUCACCUCCUCCAGCUCCGGCUAUGCUUCGUCGUCCGUGCCCUCCCCGUCCCUCGUCGCGUUCGGGUGGGCCCCGCCCAUGACUCUCACGAUGUCACUCCUCGGCUCCUCGCCCCCUCCGCGCACAGCAGUGUCAGCGUCUUCAGGUGCCUCUUCGUUGCGGUGCUGGUGCCAACCGCGGAGCAAGACGGAGACUGCGAGGGACGUUGAUUCGGAUGCUUCAGUACGCGCGAGGGCUGGGCUGGGCGACCUGGGUUGAUGCUUCGAAAAGGUAUGAGCCAUUCUCCUCCUCCCUACAACCUUCAUCUUCUCCGAAACUUUUACUGAAUGUGACAUCGCAGCGCCAGAUCCAUCCUAAAGAGUUAUAGCUUCAUACGAAAAAACAGGUUAGUUCCUCUUUAUUUUUUAGAACGGGCACUUACAAUACCAUUUUUUCACUGUGAAGAAAAGGGACAAAAAGGGAUUCUCACCUGAACAGCAGAUUACUAGAUCAGAUACGGACUGGUGAUGUUGACUAAAUUAAUUACUAUAAAGUACGCCAUCGUCGUUGCCUGGAAGCUAGAAAGAAAUCAGUUUAUACUAACUCAAAACGAAUAAUAUAUAUAAUGCACAUUUAACUAACUAAAAAAAGAUAGAAAGACUUCAGCUCACCAACAUAUACGGUAUCUGCAUCUGUGAAUAAUAUAUAUGAUGCACAUUUAACUAACUCAAAAAAGAGAGAAAGACUUCAGCUCACCAUCGUAUACGGUAUCUGCAUCUGUGUUCUACAUAUGUAGGCUGAGAAGUAAACUAAAAGUUUCUACAAUAUAGAACAAUUAUUAGGAACAUAGAAAAUAUGGUAUGAGGAAAUAUGUGAAACAUUGUGCACAAGAAACGUUUAUUCUGGUGAUGGGUGUAAUUGGAUCACCACCUCUAUUGUCAUGCAUACAUUAGUUGUUAAUAUUGAUGUUUCUUAUCAAUAAAUCUAUUCAAUGUCAAAACAUGAUUUAACCACAACUCCUAAAAUUAUGAAGGUACUCCUCAUGCCCGACAUGUAUGCAGGGACAAUAUCAUAUAUGUAGCUAUUAUUUUUUUAUUUGCAUGGCUGGCAAAUGGUUUGUAGCUAUACCAAAUUUGCAUGAAAAAGAAAAAAACUAAAAUUUAUCAUACUCAUAACUGUCAUACUUAUUAUGUAUGAUUAGAUUUGUCAUUAAACAAUUUACAAAGCAUGUCUGAUCAUACAUGUUAAGAUCAAAGUUCAAAAUCUGUUAUAUAUGGUAUAAUACCUCUGAGAGGAUAACGACUAUUACAACAUCUUUAUAUUCUUAACAUGUAUGAAUUCGAUAAUUGACAUGGUACUAUGUCUUUUAUAAAAUUUGUCACUCCCAGGGCUGUUAUAAUACAAUAUUGUUAACAUGUAAAUUUAAAAUAUAAUUUUUCAAAGCUGUUACAAGUUACAUAACAUCUUUGACAUUAUAACAACUUAAAAUCUUAACAUCAAAGUCAGUAGCUGACUAGCUGGUUUAUUGCCCGAGGUCCUACUUCAUAAUCAUAUGAAAUCAACUUCUAUCAUGCUAUGCUACUUGGGGCCUAUUUGGUUUGUUGAGAUUCUUAGAAUCUAGCACAAAAAAUCAUAAUAUGCCAAACAUGUCUCAUUUUGUAUCUAGAUUCUAGACAAAAAUCUGAGUAUCCAACUACACCUUGAUAAUAUAAGAUAAUGGGCACAUUAUCCAAAGCUAAAAUCCCAUGCCUACCAAACGACACCUUGGAAAGAUAUCGUGCUUAAGUUUUGUAAUGCAGAUUCAAUAUAACAAGCCAAAAUUGUAUAGUAUACCAAGUUAACAACUCACAAAGACCUUAAAUUGUGAUAAACCGGUUCAAAUUGAUGUCUUGUGCAUGUGUUCAAUAUAUGUGGUCUUUUCUCAAUAUAUAUGUUUAUGUACAUUAUUAUUCACUUACUAAUUUGUUAUCCUAACUGAUUCUGAUUGCCUGUUAUCCUAACCGAUUCUACAUGCCUGCUCAUCUCGCUGGACGAAUGCAUCUUCAAUUUAGCAAAGAUUAUGACACUUAAUGACAACAGAAAAAGCAGGAGGCUCUGAAGCAGCUGAGGAAGAGCCUAACCUUCACCCUUCAAAGAUAUAUAGAAAUGAGUAGAUGGCCUCCAAUCACUUCCUCAUUUUUAAUGUAUUUCAAAUGUUCUUGGUACUACAGCAAGCUCAUGGUACUUUAAUCCUCAAUUCCUGAAGCACAGGUCUACUACAGCAGGUUACAAAACAGUGAGCUACAACUGAUACAACCCACUGCAACCGAAGAAGAAAUUCAGAAUUCCUAGCCACCAAACUACGAAGACAAAAAUGUCGAGGAGUUGCUUUAUAUAGAUCCAGACAUGUUUCCUGUAAUCACUGUCACCUGCUCCUAUAUUCCACUUCUUUUGUACAUCAACAAUGUGAUAUACUGCAUCUUUUUUUUCUCUUUUGUGAUGCAGCCACAAGGUUAUAGAUGCACUGUCACUAUUCACGCAUUAUACAAGAUAUAUAGCAGAUGGUGGUUCCCAUUUUGCACCACUCAUCAAGAGCAACAACACUUUUGGAGAGAUGUAUCUGUAUAAAUAUAAACCAGCUGUUGGACUAUUUCUGAUCUGUAUAUAUUGAAGCAGCGCCUAGAAACAUAUUGUUACCAGCUCUUGGUGCACACUACUUUAAUACUACUUAAUAUGUAUUAUAGUCUCA